CUUGGUCAUUUAGAGGAAGUAAAAGUCGUAACAAGGUCUCCGUUGGUGAACCAGCGGAGGGAUCAUUACCGAGUUUUCAACUCCCAAACCCACUGUGAACAUAUACCAUUUGUUUAUUCGUUGCCUCGGCGGGUUCUACCCCCUGGAGACAGGGCGGCCAGCCCCCGCCGGCGUAACACCAAAAACCCUGAAUGUGUACCCGUUACACGGCAGUAUUACUCUGAGUCACAUCAUUUUAAAUGAAUCAAAACUUUCAACAACGGAUCUCUUGGUUCUGGCAUCGAUGAAGAACGCAGCGAAAUGCGAUAAGUAAUGUGAAUUGCAGAAUUCAGUGAAUCAUCGAAUCUUUGAACGCACAUUGCGCCCGCCAGUAUUCUGGCGGGCAUGCCUGUUCGAGCGUCAUUUCAACCCUCAGGUCCCCCUUUUCGGAGGGGGAGACACCCUGGUGUUGGGGGACGGCAUCCUGGCCCGCUGUCUCACAGUGUGCCACGCCGCCCCCGAAAUGAAUUGGCGGCCUCGUCGCGUGCCACCCCUGCGUAGUAGCACAACCUCGCAACGGGAGCCCGACGCGGCCACUGCCGUAAAACGCCCAACUUUUACCGAGUUGACCUCGAAUCAGGUAGGAAUACCCGCUGAACUUAAGCAUAUCAAUAAGCGGAGGAAAAGAAACCAACAGGGAUUGCCCCAGUAACGGCGAGUGAAGCGGCAACAGCUCAAAUUUGAAAUCUGGCCCCUAGGGCCCGAGUUGUAAUUUGCAGAGGAUGCUUUUGGCGAGGUGCCUUCCGAGUUCCCUGGAACGGGACGCCAUAGAGGGUGAGAGCCCCGUCUGGUUGGAUACCGAGCCUCUGUAAAGCUCCUUCGACGAGUCGAGUUGUUUGGGAAU
rnacentral:sRNA from 1 species